rnacentral:rRNA from 1 species
AACGGCCAUACCAUGCUGAAUAUACCGGCUCUCGUUAGAUCACUGAAGUCAAACAUCAUUGGGCGCGGUCAGUACUUGGGUGGGUGACCACCUGGGAACACCGCGUGCCGUUG